CAUGGCUCAGGACGAACGCUGGCGGCGUGCUUAACACAUGCAAGUCGAACGAUGAAGCCCAGCUUGCUGGGUGGAUUAGUGGCGAACGGGUGAGUAACACGUGGGUGAUCUGCCCUGCACUUCGGGAUAAGCCUGGGAAACUGGGUCUAAUACCGGAUAGGACCUCGGGAUGCAUGUUCCGGGGUGGAAAGGUUUUCCGGUGCAGGAUGGGCCCGCGGCCUAUCAGCUUGUUGGUGGGGUAACGGCCCACCAAGGCGACGACGGGUAGCCGGCCUGAGAGGGCGACCGGCCACACUGGGACUGAGACACGGCCCAGACUCCUACGGGAGGCAGCAGUGGGGAAUAUUGCACAAUGGGCGCAAGCCUGAUGCAGCGACGCCGCGUGAGGGAUGACGGCCUUCGGGUUGUAAACCUCUUUCAGUACCGACGAAGCGCAAGUGACGGUAGGUACAGAAGAAGCACCGGCCAACUACGUGCCAGCAGCCGCGGUAAUACGUAGGGUGCGAGCGUUGUCCGGAAUUACUGGGCGUAAAGAGCUCGUAGGCGGUUUGUCGCGUCGUCUGUGAAAACCCGCAGCUCAUCUGCGGGCUUGCAGGCGAUACGGGCAGACUUGAGUACUGCAGGGGAGACUGGAAUUCCUGGUGUAGCGGUGAAAUGCGCAGAUAUCAGGAGGAACACCGGUGGCGAAGGCGGGUCUCUGGGCAGUAACUGACGCUGAGGAGCGAAAGCGUGGGUAGCGAACAGGAUUAGAUACCCUGGUAGUCCACGCCGUAAAUCGGUGGGCGCUAGGUGUGGG
rnacentral:rRNA from 1 species